AGCAGCCGCGGUAAUUCCAGCUCCAAUAGCGUAUAUUAAAGUUGUUGCAGUUAAAAAGCUCGUAGUUGAACUUCGGGAUCAAUGGAUUGGUCAUGCCGAUGGUGUGUACUGGUCAUAUUGGUUCUCACCUUCUAAGGAACCAUAAUGUCAUUUAUUUGAUGUUGUGGGGAAUUAGGACUGUUACCUUGAAAAAUUAGAGUGUUUAAAGCAGGCUAACGCUUGAAUACAUUAGCAUGGAAUAAUGAAAUAGGACAUCGCAUUCUAUUUUGUUGGUUUCUAGGAUCGAUGUAAUGAUUAAUAGGGAUAGUUGGGGGCAUUAGUAUUCAAUUGUCAGAGGUGAAAUUCUUGGAUUUAUUGAAGACUAACUACUGCGAAAGCAUUUGCCAAGGAUGUUUUCAUUAAUCAAGAACGAAAGUUAGGGGAUCGAAGACGAUCAGAUACCGUCGUAGU
rnacentral:rRNA from 1 species